CACUCGUUUCCCCCCAAUUCACAGGUUACAUUUUACCCAAUUUCUGCUUUCUCCAUUUCACCUGAGAAACCAACCUUUCCUCUCUGCUGCCGCCGCACCGUCUUCGUGUCGCCGUCGCACUGUCACGCUCGCGUCGCCGUCGCACUAUCGUUCAGCAUAAGAGAAUAAGCUUGCGAACCCUAUGAGGGAAAUCAAAGUGCAGAAGCUUGUCCUCAACAUCUCCGUUGGCGAGAGUGGCAAUCGUCUCACCAAAAUGAUGAGAGGUGUUUGAUGGAUAAAUCAAAGUGCAGAAGCUCCAUCCCUCGAUAGAUAAAUCGUCUUGCUCGAAUUGUCAGGAAACAUCAAGCAAACUCUCAUGCAAAAAAGGGAUGGGAACAAUUUACUGAUGCUGUUAUCAAAACAAUGUCACAGAAAAGGGAAGGUGUUGUCUUUCUGUUGUGGGGCAACUCUGCUUGGGAGAAAUCUAGGUACUACCUCUAUUAUAUAACACACUAAAAGCUUUCAAGCUUUAGAAACUAAAUGUAGAGUCGACAUCCUGGGUUUAUGUAGUCAGCUUGAUAAAAAAAGAUUAAGCUUCAAGUAUUUAUUGUCUCUUUUUCAGAAAUAGAUGACAAGCAUGUUUUUUGUGCAAAUGUACAUCUAUAAUGUAUAAAACUAUAAUCUGCUCCCAGAAGAGUUUCUAUAAACUAAUUUGGACUA